AUGGUUAUAGCAAGACACCAAUUAUUAGAAGAUCAUCUGCUUGUAUCGAUGCAAAUGAUAAAAGAGAAGAACAUGCCUACAGCAGGUCCAAACCCCCCUCUUGUAGGGAACUAUUUCAAGAAAGUGUAUUGGACUCUUUUGUUGAAAACAUCAGAAUAAAUGACAAAAACCAGCCAGAACCAGAUGAUAUAAGAGUAAGUGGCGUUUUUAUAAUGCAAAGAGCAAGAUCAUUAAUAAACCAGGAAAUUAAAAAUGUAAGCACUAAAAGAAUGGGAGAACAAAGUCUGCUACUAACCAGGAAGAAAAUGGAGCAUUUAUCCGAAGAUUCAAGUAAAUUGUGCGAUUCCAUUAUAGAGGAAAUGAAAAACAGGACACCAUUUUUUUUGGAAAUAAUGCUGUCUGCAUUUGAUGAAAAACAUCUACAAGGGCAAAAAAGUCGAAUAACUGGAUCAUUGGCUAUAGUAUACAGCAUUCUUAUGUUUGCAAGAAAUGCAGAAAUGAGUGCAUUCCAACGGAUGAUGACAGCGAUUUGUAUAAGGGGACGAGCAGAA